UGAUCGUGUGUCUUUCAUUAUAGCCGCUCUUUGUGGGGUGUGAACAGUGAAUCGAUUGCUUGGAUUAUUCCUUAGGGUUCUUCGUUAGUAUUCAUCAUAAAAAUUUCAAAUCUUAUGUUCUCUGAGAACUACACGUCCAACGGGCCGGACGGAUAGACACGGAUGACAUGAAAGAAGCUCGAUAGGAAUACAAUGUUCCAAUGUUGAUAUCUCUUUUACUUGAUCUGAAAAACGAUCAUUUUAUUGAGAGAAUUUAGCGAAAGAAUACGUGGAAGAAAGGCUUCCGUAUGAAAGACGGUUAUGCUUAAGCUUCAACCGGAGCAUUGUUUCUACAUCCCCAUCUACAGUUGCAUCCGAAAAUAUUACAAGGACCAUGGCCGCAAUAAAAUCCUACAACUCGUGUUCCGUCGCGGCAGUAUCCUUCAUAUGCAGGGCAGCACAUUGCCGUCGAACCUCUGAUGAAAAAUAGGGCCAAUAAUAUUCGUGCAUAUGCCACAUACAUGCUUUGAAGCACUCUCCAGUUUGGAUGACUGGCUGACUCCCGAAAUUCGCUUCAGAACUCGCUAAUCGCAAUUUCACAAUUCCGAAACCAUAACGAUCCCCAUAAUGAUUCAAGGCCAAGCGCAUGAAUAUCAUUUACAGUGUAUUCUGAGCUGUAGAAAUUGUUCCCAGUGCUCGUGAGAGAGUGCGUAAGGAGAGACGACUCGCUCAGAUAGGAUCUGACUCUGCUGCAAUGUGCGUGGGUAAGAAAGAGACAGCGCGUGAGUGUCUUAUAGGGAUGGUUUGGUAAUACGGGUAUCUUUCUGUCGAGGCCCGUGUGCGUCUGUUCGCGACUGUAAGCACUCAGGACUCAUAUUGCUGGCAGCUUUUUACGGACGGUGUGGCCAGUCCUUAUCAAUGAUUUCGGCUGAUGACUUCGACGGACCAGAAGCUUCAAAACAUAAGUCGCAUGACCGUACCGUGUGAUUUCCGGGCGUAUUUAAUAUUCAUUCAACCCAUUUUAUGUCUGCAUCCGCCCAUACAGUCGCAUCCGAACAAAUUACAAGGUCCAUAGCCGCAAAAAUGCCCUA